rnacentral:lncRNA from 1 species
AUGUUGUCAGAGAGAGAGAGAAGGGAACUAGAAUUUGAUACCAUCAUGAAUGAUUUAUCUAACAAAAUAUCAGAAGGUCAGGCAGAAGAAGACCCUGCCUCCCUUAUGGAAACUGUUGAUGAAGAACAAGUGCAACACAUGUUUAGUAAAGACACAGAUACAAAGUCAAACAGGUCUGUGUGUACAUUAGCAGGCAAAUCAAGAUCAUCUCACACAUCCCAUAGAACAGAAAGAACAAGAGGGACUUCUGUUCAUAGUGGUUCUUCUGGCCAAUCCCUUAGUUUGGUCAUAAAGGCUAGGGCCGAGGCAGCUGCCGCAGUAAAACAAAUAGAGUUUCUUAAGAAAAGACAGCAAAUUGUUGCAGAGAAGGCAGAACUUGAUGCCUUGGCCGCUGCCAAGAAGGCAGAAAUGGAAGCCGCAGCCGCUGCCAAGAAGGCAGAAAUGGAAGCCACAGCUGCCACCAAACAAGCAAGACUGGAUGCAGAAAAUAAGGCCCGUCAAGUUAAAACAGAAGCUGCUUUAGCAACGUUAGCACAGGUUGCAAAGGCUGAGGUGUUACAAGUAAAGGCCUCAGUCCUAGAGCAAGGUCUCUUAGGAAAUACAUCCCCUCCAGAUGUUACAACAGAAGAUCCUGUCACAAAGGUGGAUUCUUAUUUAAAUACCCAAAUUAUCAAUAUCGCAGCCCCUCCUGUGCUAACAAGAGAAAGUGCAGUAGCAAAUAAUUCUUUUGUGUCACAACCAGAAAUCAUAGAGGUUUCUGCACCCAAAGAACAUUAUUUGCCGUAUGCAGAAGUAACAAGUCAAGCAGCAGUUCCAUUGCAUGAUAUAUCUCAAACCAAGUUAGAGCACAGCCUUCCAGUAGAUACACAGGACUUAAUACAGUCAAACUACACAAUGCCAACAACUGCAUUCAGUCUCAAUCCCAAAGCAGCUAGUUGGGUUCCAGAGAACCCCCAGAUCCAAACUAACUCUGAACCAGCUUUGCAACAGUCCUCAGUCCCACUUGAUAUUUUAAAUUACACCUUCUAUAGAAACCCAAGAAGAGACUUAGCAGACAGAGGCAUUCAAAAAUUCUCUGAUAAGCCAGAAGAUUAUAUGUUGUGGAAGAAUACAUUUCAGUCAGCUCUCAAGCAACUAAAAUUGCCUGUAGAGGAAGAGUUAAAUUUAUUGAUCGCCUGGUUGGGACCUGCUUCUUCCAUACAGGUGAAGAGAAUUUAUGCAGCAAACAUAAAUAACCCACAUGCAGCUUUAAAUCGAGUGUGGGACCGUCUCAAUGAACGUUAUGGAUCAUCUGCACAGAUAGAAACGUUGCUUCUGCAAAAGCUUAAAUCAUUUCCUGCAUUUACAAAAGGGGAAUAUGAGAAAUUAUGGGAUUAUGCAGAUUUGCUUGAAGAAUUGGAAGCAGCUAAGGGAAAUCCAGAUUUACCAGGGCUUGCAUGUUUAGAUCAAUAUUUAACACAACAAGAGAUUAUUGAUAAACUGCCUUUCUCACUGAAGGAGGUAUGGGGCCGGGAAGUUUUCUCUUAUAAAGAAACUCAUCAACGGAAAUACCCACCAUUUACACAUCUCGUGAAGUUUCUCUUAAGAUCAGCUAGAGAGAAGAAUGAUUUGCAAACGGGGUUUCCUCUUUUAUAUCAAAGUAAUAAAAAGGAUAAGAAACAUUUCAUAGAAACCAAAAGCAAACCACAAGUCACAGUUAGAAAAACUGAAACCAAGGUCAAAUCAGUUGAACAUCACACAAAGACAUCAGCAGGAGUAAUAUGUCCAGUACACCAAAUAGCACAUAUUCUGAAUAACUGCAAAGAAUUCAGGAGCAAACCUUAUGAAGAGCGUUUAACCUUUGCCAGAGAUCAAAGACUUUGUUUUAAAUGUGGUACUUUUAGAAACCACAUAGCCAAGGAGUGA